UACGUAGGGGGCAAGCGUUGUCCGGAAUCAUUGGGCGUAAAGCGCGUGUAGGCGGUUCGGUAAGUCUGCUGUGAAAGUCCAGGGCUCAACCCUGGGAUGCCGGUGGAUACUGUCGGACUAGAGUACGGAAGAGGCGAGUGGAAUUCCCGGUGUAGCGGUGAAAUGCGCAGAUAUCGGGAGGAACACCAAUUGCGAGGCAGCUCGCUGG
rnacentral:rRNA from 1 species